rnacentral:rRNA from 1 species
GAGCCACUCUCAGAGUUUUGAUCCUGGCUCAGGAUAAACGCUGACAGAAUGCUUAACACAUGCAAGUCAUGAUGGGAAGCUAAGCUAAGCUUAGAGAAGUCAUGGCGACGGUGAGUAACGUGUAAAGAACUUGCCCUCUAGACUGGGAUAACAGAUAGAAAUGUCUGAUAAUACCGGAUAUUAUUGUUACAUGGCAUCAUGUAGGAAUGAAAGGAUAAGAUUGCUAGAGGAGAGCUUUGCAUCCUAUUAGCUAGUUGGUAAGGUAGCGGCUUACCAAGGCGAUGAUAGGUAGCCGGCCUGAGAGGGUGGACGGCCACAAGGGGACUGAGAUACGGCCCUU